rnacentral:rRNA from 1 species
UCUGUUUGAUCCUGGCUCAGAAUCAACGCUGGCGGCGUGCCUCAGACAUGCAAGUCGAACGAUUAAACUUCUCUUCGGAGAAGAUAUAAAGUGGCGCACGGGUGAGUAACACGUAGGUAAUCUACCUUUGAGUGGGGAAUAACUUAGGGAAACUUAAGCUAAUACCGCAUAAUGCAAUAGUGUCUAUGACGCCUUUGUUAAAGGAGCAAUCCGCUUAAAGAGGAGCCUGCGGCAGAUUAGCUAGUUGGUAAGGUAAUGGCUUACCAAGGCUACGAUCUGUAACCGACCUGAGAGGGUGGUCGGUCACACUGACACUGAAUAACGGGUCAGACUCCUACGGGAGGCAGCAGUCGGGAAUUUUGGGCAAUGGGCGAAAGCCUGACCCAGCAACGCCGCGUGAAGGAUGAAGUCUUUCGGGAUGUAAACUUCGUAAGAAUGGGAAGAAUAAAUGACGGUACCAUUUGUAAGGUCCGGCUAACUACGUGCCAGCAGCCGCGGUAAUACGUAGGGACCAAGCGUUGUUCGGAUUUACUGGGCGUAAAGGGCGCGUAGGCGGCGUGACAAGUCAGUUGUGAAAUCUCCGAGCUUAACUCGGAACGGUCAACUGAUACUGUUGUGCUAGAGUACAGAAGGGGCAAUCGGAAUUCUUGGUGUAGCGGUGAAAUGCGUAGAUAUCAAGAGGAACACCUGAGGUGAAGACGGGUUGCUGGGCUGAUACUGACGCUGAGGCGCGAAAGCUAGGGUAGCAAACGGGAUUAGAUACCCCGGUAGUCCUAGCCCUAAACGAUGAAUACUUGGUGUCUGGAAUAUUAUUUUUCUGGGUGCCGUCGCUAACGUUUUAAGUAUUCCGCCUGGGGAGUACGCACGCAAGUGUGAAACUCAAAGGAAUUGACGGGGACCCGCACAAGCGGUGGAGCAUGUGGUUUAAUU